ACCCUCCAAUGUGGCUCGUGCUAGUAACACAGCAGCCUCAGUUUGGUCUACAGAAGUUGUGAGGAAUGUAUGGCCACAGAGAUAUACUCUCCCAAAAUUUCCUCCGCCACUGUUACAGGGGCUGGGUGAAAAGAGUGGACAGCUCCUUCAACCGCAGCGAAAUGAAGCAGGAACAAAGUUGGUCGCUGCGUUGGCAGACGACAUUCUGAGCAAAACUCCUCGGUCUUAGCUAGAUGAUGUCAUGCGUGCCUUCCAAGCGACAUACCCCUUCCUGGCUGACUCCACUGGACUCUGCCUACAGCAGGAGCUGGAUCUCAUGAAGGGUACCAGCAGCAGUUCGAGUGUACAAGCAAAAAUAGAACAAACAACGGAUGGCCUACUUCAGCGGAUAAUGAAGUUUCACCCUUCUUCUGAUUCAAUUCGGCAACUGAAGGGGUUUGAAUAAACCUGUCCAUGGAGUGCCAAGCUGCAAGGUGCAACUCUUUUCUUAAGGUUAAAACUCACCGAUUUCAAAAAUGCCUGAAAGUGAUUCAUGAGGUUUUCGUGUAUAUUUUUUUCUAUGUAUUGUUUGCUGCCGUAUAUAUUCCACUGACUUGAUAAUACAUUUUUUAGUUACAAGUUAGCGCUGUUCGAUGUUCUUUCUCCAGUUUUUUUCCUUGUGUGCACUAUUCCCACCGUUUAAGCUGUGAUAAUUUCUCAAAUAACUAUUUACCGAGCCAGGGUUAUAAAGCAGGAAUUACCCUCAAAAAUGUACCUGACAAAGAAGCCCUCGGCAAACUUCUCAUUUUUUCUUCCUCCAGGGCCUAACGGUGGCCAUCUCGAAAUAUUAGGUUUGGUGUUCAUUUGCUUAUAGAUAUAUGAGAAGUACUAAAAAGUGGCUAAUUGGCAACAAAUUAUAGUUUUCAAGGACUAAAAGCGAAAUUUUGCUUUGAAAGGAGGUUCUAGAUUUUUAGAAUGUUCCUACCCCAGUGCCCAAGAAUUUCGGUAGUAUGAAUAGUUUUGUUUCGGUCACAUUUUGCACACAGUCAUUGCAGACUGUGUGAAAGUUCUCGGAGUUAUAUUUUGCACACUCAUUGCACGCUCUUUGGAAGCCCUCGGAGUUCUAGGAAAAGUUAAUUCAAAAGUUUUUCAAUAUGUGUAAUGAAUCUGUGAAGUAUGACGUUCCACUAGGCCGUGUUUUAUUUGAUCUAUAUUUUAGGCGGAGAAGCAUUCUACUCAUGUGCUAGGUUUCGAUCUAGUCAUGUUCAAUAAACGUCAGAAUUUUUGUUUU